UAGGGAAUCUUCCGCAAUGGACGCAAGUCUGACGGAGCAACGCCGCGUGAGUGAAGAAGGAUUUCGGUUCGUAAAACUCUGUUGUUAGAGAAGAACAGCGCAUAGAGUAACUGUUAUGCGUGUGACGGUAUCUAACCAGUAAGCCACGGCUAACUACGUGCCAGCAGCCGCGGUAAUACGUAGGUGGCAAGCGUUGUCCGGAUUUAUUGGGCGUAAAGCGAGCGCAGGCGGUCAAUUAAGUCUGAUGUGAAAGCCCCCGGCUCAACCGGGGAGGGUCAUUGGAAACUGGUUGACUUGAGUGCAGAAGAGGAGAGUGGAAUUCCAUGUGUAGCGGUGAAAUGCGUAGAUAUAUGGAGGAACACCAGUGGCGAAGGCGACUCUCUGGUCUGUAACUGACGCUGAGGCUCGAAAGCGUGGGUAGCAAACAGG
rnacentral:rRNA from 1 species